AGGAUUCGCUAAGGAUUAUGUUCUGUAUCUGUCUCAGAUGGCUAAAAAAUGUAUGACAUAUUAUUGUAAAUCUAACUUAAAAAAAAGAACAUACUUCAUACGGUGGGUGGGCCACUAUUGUAUGUGAGAAGUUGGAAAGGUAGUUUAUGGAAAUGAUUUUAAUGUACACCUCUACGCAAUUAUUUAUCUUUGCUAACGAAAAACAAUUUUGAGUGAAAUUCGGUUAUACAUGUUUAAAAGGCUGUAAUAUUUACAAUUUAAAAAUAAUACAUUUUAACCAUUUUGUACAUUUUCAUGUUUUACCUACGUUUUUCCCCGGUUUCCCAUUUAUGAUAAAUACCACUCGGAAAAUCAAAAAAUAACUUUGUUUUAAGUAAAAACCCAGCCAGAUUUCCUUUCAGAAAAAGUGCUAUACUGUUGAUAAUCUGAACGAAAUUGCUUGUAAAAAAAUUGCCCACAGAUAUUAAUAAUAAUAAUUAUUAUUUAAUAAUUUAUCUAUCAAUAAUUAAUAAUUAGGUUUUAAUAUUAGGUUAGGUUAGAUAGUAAUUUUAUUUUAAGAGUUUUCAUAAUAAAUGGGAAGAACCGGAAAAGACAUAUGAAAAUGAGGAAAGGGAAAUUUUAAGAAAUGUAUUAUUUUCAACUCGUUUAGGCAUUUCAAAUAUGCAUAAACGAACUCCGCUCAGAAUUGUUUUGCAUAAGCAAUAAUUAAUCGUUUUGUACAGAUAUACAAUAAAUUGCUCUAUUCCCUACUUUUCCAUCUUCCACCUACGUUGUCCAGUGGCCUACGUUCGAAGCUUGUCCAAUUUUUUCUAUAGUCAAAAGUAUGACCAAUUUAAUCACAGUUAAAUAUGUAAUUGAAAUAAAAAUUUGUACACACGUCUAUGAUAUAAAACGAAUGUUUAUUUUUGUUUUAAAAUUUAUAUUAUUCCUUUUUUAAAUUAUAUUAUGUAAACUAUUCAAUUACAUUGUUUAUCAGCAACCUGAUGAUGGCGUAAGCCAAAACUAAGUAGUUGUGUAAAUAAAAUUUAUUUUUAUGUGAAUUUUUUAAACAAACAUUUUCUGUAUAAUGUAAUUGAGACAAUUUGUAAAUUAUAAAUAUGUUUACGCUGUCACAUUCAGUUUCUUCAAUCGAUUUUGGUUUUUAUAAUUUCAGUGAAACCUUUAGGUGCAAAAGACUGGUGUUCAAAUGGUUAGUAUAAAAACCUAUUAUAUAGUCUAAUAUAUUAUAGGAUACAUUGAAUAUAUGUCGGUAAACCAUGAGAAGCAAAAUGUAUGUUUGUGACUAGAAACUUACGAAAUGAUAAAGAUAAGUCAGACUUGGAAGUUGAUGGAAUAUCAUUUUAACAAGUGCAUGACAUUAAAUUCCCUUAAAGCAAUAUGAGUACUAGGGACCGUAGGAAUAAUAAAUUUAUGCUCCGUUUCAAAGAUGGAAAUAGUUGUAACAUUACCAUGACACUUCUGUUUAAGCCAAAAAUAUUGUUAAAGAAAACCAAAGAAAAUACAUACAUACUAAAUAUAUCAAACUAGUGGUGUUGUAUUCAUGUAGUACCUUAAUAUAAAUGCAGGAGAUAAGAAUAAUUUAAAUAUUAUUGAAAGAAAAGUGUUAAGAAAAAUGCACCUACAGCCCUGUAUAUAUUCGCAAUACUUGAAUUUGAGGUCAAAGGAAAAAUGAACAGCUUAAAAUAUUAUACAAGUUAGAAGAUAAAUAUCAAAUUAUAAGUGAUGCAAGAUCGAGGUGGGCAGGCCACGUUUGAAGAGUUGACGAUUGUAUAGCAAAAAGAGUACUCAUGAAUAACAUAAACUAGAAAAUGCCAUGCAGUCGACGAAGUAAUGGUAGUUAAAUAUAUUAAAAAUAAUAGGAACAAAUUAUUGUAUUGUGAACAGAGGGCAUAAAUGGUCUGUAAUACAAAAAUAAUUAAAAAUUAGAUAUUUAACAUUAAUUAAUGUCUUGGUGUGGUUAUUUUUCAAAAUAUAAUAUUAUUUUAACUAAAUUAAUGUUAUUAUAGUAGAAGUUAAUAUUUCCAUUUCAAAUCAAUAUUUUUUAUUCAUAUAUUUCAUUAAUAAAAAUUGUAUUAUUUUUAGACUCGAAACGUACAUGGAAUGUAUUGGUUUUACAAUGAUGUUUAUUUUUUCAUUCUAUUUGUGAACAACUUUUCUACCAGAAAUCUUUCUUCGAUUUUCAAGUGUAGUACAUUUUCUAAAAGAAAGUUUUAUUUGAGUGAUAUUUUAAGUAGACCAUUUUUUUGAUUUUCGAAACGAUUUCCAUAAUAAUUGGGGAAAAUGGAAAAAUAUACGUACAAGUCUGAAAAAUCUUUGUUCCUAAUAAUUUUUCGUUAACAAUAGUUUAUUGUGGCCUACAGAUAUAAAUGAAAUUCCCUUUUAUAUCCUAUAUUUUUAACUUCUCACUUACAAUAGUUGUCCACCCAUCAUGUGAAUUGUAUCCGUAUUUUUUUUACAAUAUUAUAAUUUUAGCUAAAUUUACUUUGUUUUAGCUAAAGCUAUGAAAAAUUCCACUAAAAUGUACGUAGCUGUGGUUCAAACACCAAAAAAAGGUUAGUCAAAAUAAAAAGUAACAUUUUAUUAUGAAUUUUAAAAAAAUAUAUCUCACAUUGAAAAUAGUUCGGGACUUACAUUUUGUAAAUUUUAAUUUAAUUUAAUUUAAAUUUUUGAACCAAUUAAUAUCUAUAUAAAUAUAACAAAACGUUGAUCAACCUAGUUCUGCUAUCAGAGACAAAUUCUACUCACUCAGCCAAUUUUUUGUUGUAAAACAUUUAAUUUUAGAUUCUGAGUGUAUCGAGUAAUGUAUUGAAUUUACUAUAAUGUGUGCUUUUUUCGUCUCUGGAGAACUUUCUUACUAAAAAUCUGUCUUCAAGCACCAAAAGUACCAUAUUCUCUUAGAACAAGUUUUAUCUUGUUGUUACGUCGAUGAUGUUUUUUUUUGGUAUUCCAAAGGAAAUUCACCUUAUCUGUGGCCAAUAAAAUUAAUUAAUAAUAACUUUUACAAUUGUCCAUAUCGUCAAGAAAACCCAUAAAUUAACGAACAAAUUGAAUGUUCGUAAGAAUAAUAAAAAAAAAUGUGUUCCAGAUAACCUUUAAUGGUUAAAUUCCAAUUAAAAAAAGAAGUAGGCCUUUCUCUUGUUCUAAAUGUCAAAAAUGCAAAGUUUUAUUAAUAUUGGAAAAAAACUGCAGAUUAGUAUAUUAGAGACACAGACAGAACUUACCUUCACUUAAAAUUAAGUUUUACAAAACUCUUCCUUUUGAUUUUCUCUUCUAAUAAAACUUUAUGGGAAAAAUCGUUUAACCAGAAAAUUAUACCUGGUUCUAUUAAUAAUUAUCAAACUUCCACUUUCUAUUAUUUUUUAAUAUAAUAUACUUUAUGCCCGAUUCUAAAAUCGGUCAAUUAUUAGAGUAUAAAAUUAAAAUAGCCAUGUUGUUGCUCAUGAAAGUAGGAAUAAAGUGAGUUUAUGGACUAAAAAAAAAAACUAACUUAGCUACAAUUUAGAUUUUUAUAAUUUAUUUGUUUAUUUGAACGGUCGAGCCCGAUAAAAAAAAAUACAAUAUCGCAUAAUAUCAAAUAUAGUAAUACAUGGUAAUUAGUUAUGGAAAUAAUACAAUACUCGUGAAGAAUACAUCAUAAAGUUGACAGAAAGUUACUAAGGUGUACAUUAAACAAACAUAAACAAUUAUUACAGAAUAAGUAGACAUUUAUUUACAAGCCCAAGUUUUACUAUCGCAGUGUUUUGAGAGUAAUUAAUACGACGAGUUAAUUAGCACUUAUUACUUUUAUGGGAUACUUUGUUUAGGUGGGGGUCUGGAACAUUGCUCUUUUUUUAUGGUUAGGGUUUUUUUAGGUAUAAUAAUAAUGAUAAUUUUAAUAUAUUAAUUUAUUUAAUAGUUAAUUUGCAAACUAACAUCAGUAGUGGAGGAUACGAACCUGCUAAUGCAAGGAACCGAGGGUGUGCUCGAUAAUAAUUUAUUUAUAAGUGAUACCAUUGUUUGAAUUUAAGGUAGUGACAAUAAAAAUUAAAUGAUUUAAUAAUAGUUAUAAUUAGAGAACAGGGUGAUAUGCAUUUUAAAUUUACAAAAAAGAACUGAAAACUAUCAAAAUAAUCCUGAAUUAGCAGUUUCAAAAAAACAAAAAUCGUAAAGAGGUUUUAAAAAUUACUCUCCGAACGGCUCUUACUAAUUAAUACUAUCUUUCUAAUACCUACUGCAAACAUGAUUAAAACAAAGUAAAUUUUCGUAUAAUACAUACAGUUUUAUUAUAAAUUUUACUUUGUGUUAGUCUUUUUGUAGUAUUAAAAAAUUGUAAUUAGUACUAAGUAAAAGCUGUUAGGAGUGGUCUUUUAAAUUUCUCUACCAGUUUUGCUUUUUUAAAUAUUUGAUAAAUGUUAUUACAUAGCUUUUUUGAUGUUUUUAUGCCCUUAAUAUUGUGCUAUCUCAAACGAAAUUUCUUGGUCACUAGAUUGCAUAGUAGUAGCGUAGUUGAAUAAAAUAGUAAAAAAGACGAUAGGUUGUUAUUCGUAUGGCAACAAUAACACAGUAACAUUUAAAUAUGACUAUAUGUAAUGGGUGAAAAUAUCAAGAAAAAUGCGAUGAGUGAAAACCACACAGACGGAAAGUUCACAUCACCAUUAAUUUAGUUAAUAAACAAUCGAGUAUGUUAAAUAUUUCUCGAAUCAUUAAUUCCAAAACAUAUUUUUGUAUAAAUAACAUUAAUGAUAAUAAAAAAAAAAAUAUAUUAGUAAUAUUUUGAAAUCUUAUUUGGUUGCUUUUGGAUCUAGAAGUUCCUAAGCCUAGUUAUGUUAGUAACUGGGUAUGUAUCAUGGUAUUGUAUAUGCUAUCAUAUAUAGUAUUAUAAAAUUUAGUUAUAUUUUUAUGAAAUGUACAACUAGCGUAGCGAGUGGAAAAUAUUUUAGUUAAAAAUAAAGGACUCAUUUUUGUCAAGUAUAAGCUGAGUAUCUAUUUAUAUUUCCUUUUUCUGUGAUUGGAUAUUAUUAGCUAAUUUCCUACUUCUAUUAUCAAGGCAGAGUAUAAAACUGAUUAAUUGGUUAAUUUCUGUAUGAAAUAUCUUUUGAACUCUUAUUGUAAAAGACAACAAAACAUAUUGACACUAAUGAUAUUUUCUAUUAAAUGCUGAUAGAUUCAAAAACAAAUAAUACCGUACUGUUGGACGAAGAUUUUGAGGAAGAAAUAGAAAAAAAAAAAGAAGAAGAAGAAGAAGAAGAAGAAGAAGAAGAAGAAGAAGAAGAAGAAGAAGAAGAAGAAGAAGAAGAAAAAGAGGAUAAAGAAGAAAAAGAAGAAGAAGAAAAUGAAGCUAUUUUUGCUAAAUUUCUCAAAAGUAUGAAUACUGAAAAUAAUGCUGGUAAGUCCAGGCACAUAGCUAGUAUUUUAUUUUUGGAGAAUGCGUCCAAUCGUAAAAUUUAUCACUACCUACCAUCAAUUAUAUUAUUUAUACCAAUAGUCUGAUUUUUUGUGAAAAUCUUAAAUUUUGGGCGCGGGGUUCGGACCAAAUAGACCCUCUGGCAAUGUACCUGUGUAAGUUUUUUUCAAUAAAUGAUGUUUACUGGUUAAGUAAUGUCGUAUUUCAAAAGGAAAAUACACAUUUUCAAAAAUAAUAUUAAAAUAUUUUUUAUUUAAAUUUAAUAACACAAAUAUACAGAGAUCAGAAUUUUAUGUUAAAGCAAUUUUCUUCUAUAAUUAUACAUAUAUAUGACCGUGCCAUGCUACCACACAAGUACAUAGUGUUCCACUACUCUCUCCUGCCAAACCUUAAAAGUGGAAUAUAUCAUCAAAAGGUUGAAGGCAAUCAAAAAUAUAAACAAAAUUUAUUUGUACUAAUUCUCCAUCUGUCUACAGAAUUAAAAAUAUAAGUUGCUAUUUAAAUAUAAAAAAGUUGAAUUCUAAAUAUCCACAAUAAUGCUCCAUAAAUUUCAAAUCCACAUAAAAUUUUUAGAUUACACAGGACAAUAUAUGCUAUUGGGAAAUUUCCACUUUCAGAGUAUAAAACUAUGAGUUUGGUCAAAUUUCCUUGAGAACUCUUUGGUCAAAACUUAAUUUUUAUAUGAUGUAGUUUAAUAAUUUUCCUUUAUCGGUAAACAAUACUCUGCUCUUAUUUAAAUUUCAAUUUAGUAAUACAUCUGAAAUUAUCCAUAAAAUUAAAUUUGCAUUUCUUUAAUAUAAUAACUGGAAAAAUGGUUGUUUAUGAAUUAAAGUUAUUCAUUUUUCAUGUAUGUUUUAUUUAGCUGAAUCUACAAUCAAAACUGAAGCUACAGGUACCUGUUAUAUUAUUUCCGGUUUUAGACAUAAGCUUGUUAAUUUAUAGUAUCCCUCGUAAGUAAUCACC